GAGUUUGAUCCUGGCUCAGAACGAACGCUGGCGGCGUGCCUAACACAUGCAAGUCGAACGGAAUUGAGGGGCUUGCUCUUCAAUUUAGUGGCUCACGGGUGAGUAACGCGUAGAUAAUCUGCCUGAUGAUCUGGGAUAACACUUCGAAAGGGGUGCUAAUACCGGAUAAGCCCACGGGAUCUUUGGAAUCUGCGGGAAAAGGGGGGGACCUUCGGGCCUUCUGCCAUCARAUGAGUCUGCGCACCAUUAGCUAGUUGGUGGGGUAAUGGCCUACCAAGGCUACGAUGGUUAGCUGGUCUGAGAGGAUGAUCAGCCACACUGGAACUGAGACACGGUCCAGACUCCUACGGGAGGCAGCAGUGGGGAAUUUUGCGCAAUGGGGGAAACCCUGACGCAGCAACGCCGCGUGAGUGAUGAAGGCUUUCGGGUCGUAAAGCUCUGUCGAGGGGAAAGAAGUGUACUUUGGCUAAUAUCCAUUGUGCUUGACGGUACCCCUAAAGGAAGCACCGGCUAACUCCGUGCCAGCAGCCGCGGUAAUAC
rnacentral:rRNA from 1 species